UACGUAGGGUGCGAGCGUUGUCCGGAAUUAUUGGGCGUAAAGGGCUCGUAGGCGGUCUGUCGCGUCGGGAGUGAAAACUCAGGGCUUAACCCCGAGCCUGCAGUGGAUACGGGCAGACUAGAGGUAGGUAGGGGAGAAUGGAAUUCCCGGUGUAGCGGUGAAAUGCGCAGAUAUCGGGAGGAACACCGGUGGCGAAGGCGGUUCUCUGGGCCUUACCUGACGCUGAGGAGCGAAAGCGUGGGGAGCGAACAGG
rnacentral:rRNA from 1 species